rnacentral:rRNA from 1 species
GGUAGCCGACCUGAGAGGGUGACCGGCCACACUGGGACUGAGACACGGCCCAGACUCCUACGGGAGGCAGCAGUGGGGAAUAUUGCACAAUGGGCGGAAGCCUGAUGCAGCGACGCCGCGUGAGGGAUGAAGGCCUUCGGGUUGUAAACCUCUUUCAGCAGGGACGAAGCGUGAGUGACGGUACCUGCAGAAGAAGCACCGGCUAACUACGUGCCAGCAGCCGCGGUAAUACGUAGGGUGCGAGCGUUGUCCGGAAUUACUGGGCGUAAAGAGUUCGUAGGCGGUUUGUCGCGUCGUUUGUGAAAACCCGGGGCUCAACUUCGGGCUUGCAGGCGAUACGGGCAGACUUGAGUGUUUCAGGGGAGACUG